rnacentral:ncRNA from 1 species
GUGCGCUCCGGGGCUCGGUGGAAGUCCGAACCGGCGGUGACAGCCCGCGACCCGUCAACGUCCAGUUGGCGGCUGACCCGGUGGAACUCCGGGGCCGACGGUGAAAGUCCGGAUGGUAGGUGGCGCAC